rnacentral:misc_RNA from 1 species
AAAAUAAAAAAAAUAUUAGUAGUUUUCAUCUAAUUGGGAACCAUGAACCAUUAUGGCAUUGGGUACUGGUUGCUUAGAAAUAGUUGACCAUUUCUUUGGGAAAGUAGGUGUAAAUAGUUUUUAGUUGGUGCAUAUUAUUAACAACUUUAUUGAAUUAGAAUGUAGCUGGCUGCAACUCUAGUUUCACUAUUAACUGAUUUCAAAUUUAUAUUAUAUUAGGGGUUAUUGCAAUGCACCGUGUGG